AGAGAGAGAGAGAGAGACAGAGCGAGAUAGAGAGAGAGUGGGGGGGGAAGGAUAAAGAAAGGAAUAGAUAGAGUAAGAAGAAGAUAGAGAGAGGUAGAGAUAGCGAUAGAUAGAGAGAAAGAGAGGGAGAAGGCGUGAGUGGUGGAAUCUGAGAGAAUGAUAAUGAGGCGUGUGGGUGGUAACGAGUGGAGGAGGGGAAAUCAGCGUGCGACACGUGCGACACGUGCAGGUGCGUGAGGUAAACAGGUCGGAUUCUAAAUGGUUCAGCUUCUUUAUUUAAUAAAACAUAAACAAACAUAAAACCAAACCAAGCUGAACUUCUUCAUUCACUCCAGUAAAGAUUCAUCUCUCAGCAAAAUUCCAGUAAAGGCCAAACAGCCCUCCUGAAAGCUUGGGUUCGUCCUCUCGCUCAGUGUCGCAGCAGACCGUAAAACGGUGCUUAAUUCUCAUCAUCUGAGGUAAAAGUCACUUGCAUCUAUCAUCAUCAUCAUCAUUUCUUCACGCCACCGACUUUGCUUUAUGCUAACACACAUUUAUUUAAUCAUCCACAUGUUUUGUUUGACCAUUCGAUUUGUGUCUUUUGGUUUGUCUUUUCAUUUGUUCGGUUUUACCCCCAAUAUGGCCACCACGUUUUGUGUUUUAAUUGUGGUAUAUAAACGAAUAGGACUGUUUUCUGCAGCGUAGCAUUGCAAAGAAUCAGAUUACACAUCCACAUAAUGAAAUUGGGAAAUUCUGUACAAUAUAUUACAUAUUGCUGGAAAUGGCGCCAUUUUAUGUUAAUGAAAACAACAACAAAAAAAAAAACUCUGAAAGCUACAAUGCUUUAGGACAAAAUUUUAAGGUUAUCCACACCAGUCAAGACUCAUCAUCUGAGGUAAAAAUCGCUCGCAUCAUCAUCAUCAUCAUCAUCAUCAUUUCACGCCACUAAUAUUGCUUCAUGCUAACACAAGUUUUGUUCGCUUAUUCACGUUUGUUCCUAAAUUGGUUUAAAAAACAUAGGUUUAUAGACCAAUAAUAUUUUACCGCUUUGUCCAAUAAAACAAAGUAAAAGCUUGGAAAGUCCGUAUAUCACAUAUUGGUGAAAAUGGCGCCAUUUCAUGUUUUUUCCUUCACACACAAUUUUAAAAAAGCGACAAAAAACACCUCUGAAAGCUACAAGGCUUUAUGACAAAUGGUUAAAAAGUCAUCCACACCAGUCUUGACUCAUCAUCUGAGGUAAAAAUAUUCUAAAACACAAGCCUCAUCAUCAUCAUCUCUUCAGGCUACUGACACCGAUCAUGCUAACACACAUUAAUUCAGUCAUUCACAUAUUUAGUUUUUUAUGUCCACUGUCUCAGGAAUAUGUGAGAGUCUUUUUUAAUGUCUGUAGCAUUGCAAAGCAGCAGGUCACAUAUCUACGUGAAAUUUGGAAAUUCACACCAGUCUAGUCUCAUCAUCUGAGGUAAAAGGCACUCGCAUCUUUUAAAACACGAGCCUCAUCAUCAUCAUCUCCUUAGCCACUGACAUUGCUUCAUGCUAACACACAUUCGUUCACUCGCUCACACAUUUGUUUCUUCUUCUUCUUUCGGCUUCUUCCAUUAGGGGUCGCCACAGUGGAUCAUCCGUCUCCCAUACCCCCCUGUCCUCUACAUCUG